CUAAACCGUAACUUCUCAUCUUUUGGCUAAUGUGUGAGUCCUAAAAAGGCAGUCUAGUCCCCAGGCAUGUGUUCCCUGUACUCUUUGGUCUGCUGAAGGAAUAAGCAGAGCCACCUCAGACAAGGCACUCACCAGCCUUUGCUCCCUGGAGGCUAAACUACAGAGCAAAGAGUCACCAAAAAUGCCGUGUAUCUUUCUAUCCAAAGUCAAGUUUGCUGGGCAUCUGUAGGCUCUUGGUCUGCUUUAAGCUGGAGAUCGCAGCAGACCAAUGGCAGGAGUGCUGCAUGUAAGGAAGAUGUUGUGGCUCCUUAGUCAGCAAGCAAAGAAGAAGCUUCAAGCUGGCUUAGUUGGAGUUCCCUCAAAAGCAGAGCCUGAGACAAUUACUUGGGGUUAUACAGUUUAAUUGGGAGCUGACCCCAGAGAAUGGAAUCAGGAGAGAGGUCAGGAAGGGGGAAGCCAAGAGGGAUGUGCACUGUUUACCGUGGUGAGCAAAUGCUGGUCUCGGUCAUGAUGCGGAGCUUCGGAGGAGUUGCAUGGAGCACUCCUCAGACAUUCUCCCCUUAAGGAUAGACGUCUGGGACGUUGGUCCAUGGAAUUGCGUUUCCUCUUCGUUGAGAGUUACCUCGAAAGUGUUGGCUGCUUGUCAUAGGUGGAAUGGUCCCGUCUCCUCCUCAAAGAUGUCCACAUCUUCAUCUCUGGAACCUGUUGCACGUUACCUUACAUGGUAAAAGGGAUCUGUCUAUGUGACUAAAGUUAAGAAAGUUCCUCACAUCUGUAAUCCCAGCACUUUGAGAGGCCAAGGAGGGUGGAUCAUUUGAGGUCAGGAGUUUGAGACCACCCUGGCCAACAUGGUGAAACCCUAUCUCUACUAAAAAAAAAAAGUACCAAAAAUUAGCCAGGCAUGGGAGUGGGCACUGUAAUCCCAGCUACUCUGGAGGCUGAGGGAGGAGAAUUGCUUGAACCCCAGGAGGUGGAGGUUGCAGUGAGCCCAGAUCAUGCCACUGCACGUCAGCCUGGGUGACAGAGCAAGACUCUGUCUCCAAAAAUAAACAAACGAAAAACUUCAAAUUGAGAGGUUAUCCCUGAUUAUCUGGGCAGGACAAAUCUAAUCAUAUAUAUCCCUAAAACUGGAGAAACUUUCUACAACAUAGACAAAGCCGUGACUAUAGACGUAAGAUACAAGGAGAUGCAGCACUGUUCCCUUAGAAGAAAGAAGAGGGCAAUCAGCUAGGGAAUGCAUGUACCUCUGGAAGCUGAAGAAGGAAAGGAAAACGCGUCCGCCCUGGAGCCUCCAAGAAAGAGUACAACCCUGACGACUCUUUGAUUUCGGCACCGUGAGAUCCACAGUGGGCUUCUAUUCUACAGAACUGCUUCCUUCUGUUUCCUGAGGCGGUGCUGACUUCAGGGGCCAGCUAAAAUCCUGCAGAUCCAUCUCUCAGGGCAGUGGAUUGGGAAGGCAGGUGCCCUCUCUUUCUGCACUGGUAAGCCCAAAGCACCUUGGCCACUCAACAGCAGAUUGGACAGAAUUCUGCUUCUCAAUCCCACAGCAAUGAAUGGAAGACACCCCAUGAUAUGGUUCGGCCCUGUGUCCACACCCAAAUCUCACCUUGAAUUGUAAUAAUCUCCACUUGUCAAGGGGGAGACCAGAUGGAGAUAAGUGAAUCUUGGGGUGGUUUCCGCCAUGCUGUUCUCAUGAUAGUGAGUGAGUUCUCACCAGAUCUGAUGGUUUUUUAAGGGACUUCCUCCUUCACUGGGCACUCAUACUCUCUCCUGCUGCUCUGUGAAGAGGUGCCUUCUUCCUUGAAAUUAUAAGUUCCCUGAGGCCUCCCCAAUCAUGCAGAACUGUGAGUCAAUUAAACCUCUUUUCAUUAUAAAUUACCCAGUCUUGGGUAUUUCUUCAUAGCAGCAUGAGAAUAGACUAAUACACCCCACUCCAAGGGGGUAAUUAAGCACAGCUGCACAGUCCUUAGGGUUGUUAAACUCAGAGAUACCUGUGAACACUGGUCCAAAGACUCAGGCGGCCCUUCUCAGAGUCCACUGGUCCCCGUACCGUAUUUACUCAUUAAUCCCUGUAACAGUACUCACUCAGAAGCUAAUAUAUUUUAUGAACUCAAUUUUCAUUAGGAACAAACCCUUUUCUGUCUUGGAAAUGCUGCCCAUUUCAAAUGAGUAGACUAUUGAA
rnacentral:lncRNA from 10 species